CCUACGGGAGGCAGCAGUGAGGAAUCUUGGUCAAUGGACGGAAGUCUGAACCAGCCAUGCCGCGUGCAGGAAGACGGCCCUAUGAGUUGUAAACUGCUUUUGUACAAGGGUAAACCUGAAUACGUGUAUUCAGCUGAAAGACCUGUACGGUUAAGGAACGGCUAACUCCGUGCCAGCAGCCGCGGUAAUACGGAGGAUCCAAGCGUUAUCCGGAUUUAUUGGGUUUAAAGGGUGCGUAGGCGGAUUGAUAAGUUAGAGGUGAAAUGUCCGAGCUUAACUCGGUAACUGCCUCUAAUACUGUUGAUCUAGAGAGUAGAAGCGGUAAGUGGAAUGUAUGGUGUAGCGGUGAAAUGCUUAGAGAUCAUACAGAACACCGAUUGCGAAGGCAGCUUAC
rnacentral:rRNA from 1 species